AAAAUGAGAACCCUUAAAGCUGCUAACUUUAAGAAUUGCAAUUAUGUAACAUUUUCU
rnacentral:tRNA from 1 species